AUGGUGGAAGAAGCAGCAUCAAGCAGCAGGGUUUUUGUACGGCCACUAAACCUGUUUGUAUCACUGUGGCACACUUUUGGUGGAGGAACCAAACUGUCUGUGGGCCGUCUCACCCGGCCCAGUGUGACGGUGCUGCCCCCCUCCAGUGUGGAGCUGCAGCAGGAGAAGGUCACACUCGUGUGUGUGGCCAACAAGGGCUUCCCCUCGGACUGGAGGCUGACCUGGAAGGUUAAUGGGAACAGCUGGACCUCGGGGGAGAGUCACAGUGCUGAUGUUCUGCACACAGACGGCCUCUACAGCUGGAGCAGCACGCUGAGCCUUCGCUCAGAGCAGUGCAGGAACAAGCUGGUGACCUGUGAGGCCUUCAAGGAGAACCAACCUACUGUGGUGAGCACAGUGAACAUUGAGCAGUGCUCAGAGCUGUGAGCUCACACACGGCUCUUCUUCUUAAUUAGUACCAAAAUAUGUAAUAAGUAUGUGUCCCUGGAAUGUCUUGCUUUGAAUUAUUAAUAAAAGCUUUUGAAUCAGUAA